rnacentral:rRNA from 1 species
GUCUACGGCCAUAUCCCCCUGAACGCACGUGCAUCUUGGUCUGAUCUUGGGGUAGGCCUAGGCAGAGGUUGGGUCUGGUUGUACUUGGAAUUGGGUGACCGUCUGGGAAUACCAGGUGCUGUAGCGC